rnacentral:ribozyme from 1 species
AAGAAAAGAAAAAAAAAACAAACAAAUGAUAAAGCGGUGUGAAGGAUAAAAAAUUUGCGUUGCUUGUUUUUCCUGCUGCCUCUG